GAGAUGCCUCCACUCAGAGCUGCAGGUGGUGUUGCGCAUCUGCAGGGACUGCUUGCAGGCCGCCGAGGCGACGCGCACCGCUCGAGGUUUGGAGCCGAGCAGGCCGUCGAGUGCGCCGGACGAGGUGCGGGAAUCG
rnacentral:SRP_RNA from 1 species